rnacentral:snRNA from 1 species
AUACUAUAAGCAAGCACAUACACUAAACUUGGAAAGAUAUGGAGAAGAUCAGCAUGGGCGCUGCACAAGAAUGACAGGCAGAUUCAUGACGUGUUCUGUACUUAU